UCAGUCUCCGCUAUCAUUCAGCCUUGUGAAGUCGGCAAACCAAUAAUAUUAUUCCAAAAGUAUUUAUUCAAAAAAAAUAUUGAGUGAUUUUGUGAUUAAUUUUCGGCAAUGAAAUUUGUAUCCAAAACUAAAAUGAUGUUAUUUAAAGAGAACGAUUUCGAUCAUGAAGACGUGGAGCGCGAAGCGGAAAAUAUCCGCGAAAAAAAACGCAGACUGAACGAAAGACUAAGGCUCUGGAAAAUAAAAAGACGGGAGAUAAUGAGAAACUUCCAACGUAGGCUCGGCGCAGCUAUGAAGCUGCAACACAAAUUAAUGGUUACCAUGGAAGAGAUGAAGCAAUAUUUCCUUGUUUUCUUUCCCUGGCUCCUUGGCGCCAGCUUGGCGGAUCUGGCUCAGUUUCAGGAACUGCAAGACACUUUAAACAAUCUAAUGAGGGAUAAUAAUAGGAACAUCUGCAAAAUUGAGAAGACCUUGGAAGAAAUUACACUUCAAAGCGAUGACAAUUUAGGGAUAAACAUAAUAUAAGAUUUCAUGAACAAAUCGUGAGAAUUCGUAAAUAUUGUUUGACACAUCGGGCGGCAUUUUAUGAAAAGAUUGUGGAAUGUAGGAGGCGUCAGAGGCAACCAUUGCCUUUGGAGGCUCUUCCAGAGACAAAGACUGGAGGAUAGAUAGUCAAACAGUUGGCAAUUUAAAUUCCACACCCUUCAAGUCAAAUAAAUAUACUUAUAAUCUACUUGUUUGGAUAUCCAUGCUAGAAACAUUAUCAAACUUCAAAAUGAAUAUAUGAGAGGCCCUUAUAAUUUCUACAAAACACAUUUAGAAACAUACAUAUUAAUAUCAGAAUAUUCUUACAUUCGAAAUGAUCAUGGGAGUGAGUUUGACGGAAUUGCGCCCAAGGGGGUGUGCGUGAACAAUUUAUGCAACUCUCCUGCAAUUUCCGGUAUAUUAAAGCAAUUUCCAACCCACAGGCCGCAGCAUACACACAGGACAUAGGACACUGGACAUAGGCACGACUUAAUGGGGGAAGUCCUGCAUAUGACUGUUCCCUCUGCGCCCGUUUUGGGUGUGACGAAAAAGGACUCCAGGGCAUUUGGAGCAGCCGCCCUCAGUAUACAAUUUUUUGAUGGCCUAACAAAAAUUGAUAUCACAUUUGAAUAUGACGAAGGACAGUCUUAAUGGGUUUACCUUUAAUAUUUUAAUUUUGUAUUUUAACUUACGUCUUUCUGUUUUUUAAAAAAAUAAAAGAUUUGUCACUAAUCAACUAUUUGAAAUGAAA
rnacentral:sRNA from 1 species